rnacentral:rRNA from 1 species
AUUGAACGCUGGCGGCAGGCCUAACACAUGCAAGUCGAGCGCGCCGCGGACGGGUGAGUAAUGUAUGGGGACUGCCCGAUCGAGGGGGAUAACUACUGGAAACGGUGGCUAAUCCCGCAUACUAUCGGAUAACCCAUAUGGGAUUAGCUAGUAGGUGGGGGAAAGGCCCACCUAGGCGACGAUCUCUAUCUGGUCUGAGAGGAUGAUCAGCCACACUGGGACUGAGACACGGCCCAGACUCCUACGGAGGCAGCAGUGGGGAAUAUUGCACAAUGGGCGCAAGCCUGAUACAGCCAUGCCGCGUGUAUGAAGAAGGCCUUAGGGUUGUAAAGUACUUUCAGUGGGGAGGCGUUACCCACAGAAGAAGCACCGGCUAACUCCGUGCCAGCAGCCGCGGUAAUAC